rnacentral:rRNA from 1 species
GAUGAACGCUGGCGGCGUGCUUAACACAUGCAAGUCGAACGAUGAAGCCCAGCUUGCUGGGUGGAUUAGUGGCGAACGGGUGAGUAACACGUGAGUAACCUGCCCUUAACUCUGGGAUAAGCCUGGGAAACUGGGUCUAAUACCGGAUAGGAGCGUCCACCGCAUGGUGGGUGUUGGAAAGAUUUAUCGAUUUUGGAUGGACUCGCGGCCUAUCAGCUUGUUGGUGAGGUAAUGGCUCACCAAGGCGACGACGGGUAGCCGGCCUGAGAGGGUGACCGGCCACACUGGGACUGGGACACGGCCCAGACUCCUACGGGAGGCAGCAGUGGGGAAUAUUGCACAAUGGGCGCAAGCCUGAUGCAGCGACGCCGCGUGAGGGAUGACGGCCUUCGGGUUGUAAACCUCUUUCAGUAGGGAAGAAGCGAAAGUGACGGUACCUGCAGAAGAAGCACCGGCUAACUACGUG